GGGAGGUCACCGCCUAAUCGCUCCACUGUCGCAGCGGAGUGAAUCGGGGACCCACUUACUUCCCUGCGCCGCGGCCGACGAGGCCGUGUCACGGGGAUCGGGGUGAAUCGCGGGAGACCGCGUAGGGCCAUCUCUUCCGGCCCGAACCCGACAGCUAACCCGGUCGGCGGUCAGGGAGAACUA
rnacentral:sRNA from 2 species